AUUGAACGCUGGCGGCAUGCCUUACACAUGCAAGUCGAACGGUAACAGGUCUUCGGAUGCUGACGAGUGGCGAACGGGUGAGUAAUACAUCGGAACGUGCCUAGUAGUGGGGGAUAACUACUCGAAAGAGUGGCUAAUACCGCAUGAGAUCUACGGAUGAAAGCAGGGGAUUGCAAGACCUUGUGCUACUAGAGCGGCCGAUGGCAGAUUAGGUAGUUGGUGGGAUAAAAGCUUACCAAGCCGACGAUCUGUAGCUGGUCUGGGAGGACGAGCAGCCACACUGGGACUGAGAAACGGCCCAGACUCCUACGGGAGGCAGCAGGGGGGAAUUUUGGACAAUGGGCGCAAGCCUGAUCCAGCAAUGCCGCGUGCAGGAUGAAGGCCUUCGGGUUGUAAACUGCUUUUGUACGGAACGAAAAGCCCCGGGUUAAUACCCUGGGGUCAUGACGGUACCGUAAGAAUAAGCACCGGCUAACUACGUGCCAGCAGCCGCCGUAA
rnacentral:rRNA from 1 species